GCAUGGCUAUCCAAAUUUGUACAAUACCGAAAGGUACAUGACCAACAUCAAAAAGGGUAGUCCUAUACAUGCCAUUUCAAAGUUCAACCAAAAGUGUACCAAAAGGGGCUUUGUUAGUGUGGACGACUUCGACUUCGACAAUCCCGAGCCCGAUAGCUGACGAACCAAAAGCUAUAAAACAGAGAUUCAAAGAAACGGAGUAAGCAUUAAAUGCUUACUAAGUUUUGAGCCAUGAAAUUAGACACAACUAAAGCGUAGCAUUCAUAUGGCUAAACGGAUAAUUUCAUAUGCACAAAUUCUCAAUAUCAUACUUACUUCACAUUACCAACCCUUAUAUUCAUACACAAAAGAUCAACUUAGCCAAAGGCCGGUAGCUCAUUUAUCGACUGAGCGAAUACUAUCUGUAAGGGAUGAACUAAUUCAAUGCAUAUACGAAACAUACCUCAUCGCUGAGAUUUUACGAGCGUAUUAAUUGAAACUAUUACAGCAAGGUCGCUCAUUCCCAAGCCAAGUACCUUCGGGAUUUAACCAGAUAUAGCUACUUACUCGAAUGCCUUCGGGACAUAGCCCGGAUAUAGUAACUCGCACAAAUGCCUUCGGGACUUAGCCCGGAUAUAGUAACUCGCACAAAUGCCUUCGGGACUUAGCCCGGAACUAGUCACUAGUGCAAAUGCCUUCGGGACUUAACCCGGUUAUCAUCCAAAUAUUCAUGCACAUAUCAAUAAAUCAUGACACAUCCAUAUUUCAUUUUCAUAAUUAGAGUUCAAACACAAGUCACGUAUUAAGUAAUCCCAUUUUCGGCUCACUAGCCACAUACAAACAGCAUGGUUUAGCUUGCUUUAUGACACGAUCUCUAUGCACAUACGGCUACCCGUCAUACGUUUAGACUAAUUAACUCAACAUAAAAUUCAAGUAGGAUCAUCAUAUCACCGUAUAUUUGUUAUGCUCAUAUGUCAUGACUUAAUCAAAUCGUAAACUAAGUCUCGUUACUCGAAAACUUACCUCGGAUGUUGUCGAACGAUUUCGGCGGCUAUUCGAUCACUUUUUCUUUUCCCUUAUCCAACUUUGGUCCUCUAAGCUCUUGAGCUAAUUCAAACAAAUUUAACUUAUUAAAGUCUCAUUAUGCUAGCUUAUGGCCGAAUAUGACAAGGAGUUUGAUAGGUCAUAUGGCCACUUUUAGCUCAAAUACAAAAUGGUCAUACGCAUUUUUAAUCACAUUGAGUAAUUUAAUACAAUUAAUCUAACAUUUCCUCAUGUGCACCUUUAUGACCGAAAACACACAUCAUUAACCUAAUAUCAAUUACUAAGCACUUUAGCAAUUUCUCCUUGAGCCGAUUAUCCAAGUCAAGAUAGAUUCAUCAUCAUGCUUACCUAUAACCGAACACAUGCAACACCAAUCCAUCUAUUCAUUCAUGCGUGCAUCUUAUUCAAGCAUGUAUAUCUACAACCGAAUUCAUCAUAUAAAUGACUAUGAAUUUACUCAAACAAUCUCAAUACCACACAUGGUGCUCAAGCCCUUUUUCAAUUUCAAAACUUGGCUAGUACAACUAUAUACACUAGUAAAUCAAACACUAACAAUUGCACUUCACCUUACUACCAUUUCUCAUCCAAAUAACGUGAACAACAACUAUAUUUCUCUUCUACUUCCUACCAUGGCCGAAUGCAUCAAAACACCAUACCAUUUCAAUUUUGGUCAUGGUUAAACAAAGAACUUAAUGUCUAACUCAAAAAUGCUAAAAAGAAAAUUCAAAUGUCAUCAAUCCACCCUCACAUGUAUCCUUACAAAGCUUCACUUUUAGCAUGCAAAUGACAUCAACACCAAUCCACCUUAGCCGAAUAUCAUCUCCAUGACAUAGCAAAGAUUUGAACCAUGGGCUAGGUAGAACUCAAGCUAACAACUAAAAGCAUGCAUGAAUCUCAUGGAACAACAUCAACAUACCUUAACCUAGAUACAAGUAUGGCCGAACCUCUUCCUAAUCCUCUUCCAAGCCGAACAUGAAGCAAGAGAACACCUUCCUUCUUCCUUCCUCCUUAGAACUUUCGGCCAAAAAAUGUAAAAGGAUGGACACUUUUUUUUCUUUGUUUUCAUCAUUUUCCCCUCCAUUAUUUUAUUACCAUGCUCCUUAUUUUAUGAUUCCUCCCAUGAAACACCAAUAUAAUAUGUUUAUGACAUGUUUUGCCCAUCA
rnacentral:lncRNA from 1 species